rnacentral:lncRNA from 1 species
CAAUGUGGCCUGGGGAAGGCAGCAUGAGUCCUGCCAAACCCAAGCCUGUUUAGUAUGCAGGCCUGGGACCUGAGGGUCUCUCUGGGGAAAAAGGAUCCCUGUCUCCACACACAGGAAAGAGUGCCUGGGAAGUGGCUUCUCCUCAAUGAACCAUUUUCCCCCUUUUGCCCUGCUCCCCACCCAUCCCAUGCCACAUCUCACUUUGGGAUGCCUUCGGCAACCUGGAAAGCCUUCAGUCUCUCACA